AGCAUUGUCAAAGUCUCUGUGUUUCCCAUGCCACAACAGCAAAAGGCAAAAGGCACUGGGACAUGAGAUCUUAAACUGAACAGUGGAGAGAGAGACAGACCUGCUGUGAUUUGACCAUGAUGUCAUCUUCUGAGUAAACUAUUCCUCAUGUAAUGCAAGCUAUAAAUUACCUGGUCUUGAAUGAAGCAUGUCAUCUCCCAGUGUCUGCUUUCUCAUCAUCAAACAAACAAAAUACCUCAAGACAACGUCUGUUCACCACAGUGCCUGCAUCCUCCCUGCUUAGCCCAUAGCUUGGCUCCGACCCUUGGCGUUUCUGGUGACUAGCACUGGCCAUAGGGCUCACUAUCAGAGAAUAAAUGUGAUGAGAAGUGA
rnacentral:lncRNA from 1 species